UUCGUCUUCGUCUUCUUCUUCUUCUUCUUCUUCUUCUUCUUCUUCUUAUUUUUCUUCUUUCUUCCUUCUCUUUUUCUUCUUCUUUUUUUGUGUUUAGGGUUUCUCACGUUUACCCUCUGUCCAUGAUAGAUGCUCGCAUCUGAGAAGAUUGCCUAAAACCGAGUUGAUUGAAGGUUGUAAACUUCAUAUAUAGGGUUUACCCUCUUUCCAAAUCAGACGAUCGACUCCAAGGUUUGAAUCUGCAAAAUCGAAGCUUGAUUUAAGGUUGAAAACAAAGGUUGUGGAAUGUUCGAAUGGAUAUCAAGUUCAAGCCCAAGUUGUGAUACUUACCAGACUCCACCUAGGUCCCUAUGCUCAGAAACAUCAACUUCAUCAUCUCCUUCCCCUUCAUCAGACUAUAUCAAAGGAUACUUGAACGGUGCAAUAAAAGAAUCUGA